GUGCUCGCUGCGGCAGCACAUAUACUAAAAUCGGAAUGAUACAGAGAAGAUGAGCAUGGCCCCUACGCCAGGAGGCUGAGGGGAAAACAAUAUGAAAAGAUGCAGAUUCAU